GAUGAACGCUGGCGGCGUGCUUAACACAUGCAAGUCGAACGAAGCAACUUGAGAGCUUGCUCUUAAGUUGACUGAGUGGCGGACGGGUGAGUAACGCGUGGGUAACCUGCCUCAUACAGGGGGAUAACAGUUGGAAACGACUGCUAAUACCGCAUAAUACCAUAGUGCCGCAUGGCACAUUGGUCAAACUUUUUGGGUAUGAGAUGGGCCCGCGUCUGAUUAGCUAGUUGGUGGGGUAACGGCCUACCAAGGCGACGAUCAGUAGCCGGCUUGAGAGAGUGAACGGCCACAUUGGGACUGAGACACGGCCCAAAACUCCCUACGGGAGGCAGCAGUGGGGAAUAUUGCACAAUGGGGGAAACCCUGAUGCAGCGACGCCGCGUGAGUGAAGAAGUAUUUCGGUAUGUAAAGCUCUAUCAGCAGGGACGAAAAUGACGGUACCUGACUAAGAAGCCCCGGNUAACUACGUGCCAGCAGCC
rnacentral:rRNA from 1 species